rnacentral:rRNA from 1 species
GACGAACGCUGGCGGCGUGCCUAAUACAUGCAAGUAGAACGCAGUUGCGAACGGGUGAGUAACGCGUAGGUAACUGCCUCAUAGCGGGGGAUAACUAUUGGAAACGAUAGCUCAUACCCCAUACUGGGAGAUGGACCUUCGUUGUAUUAGCUAGUUGGUGAGGUAAAGGCUCACCAAGGCGACGAUACAUAGCCGACCUGAGAGGGGGAUCGGCCACACUGGGACUGAGACACGGCCCAGACUCCUACGGGAGGCAGCAGUAGGGAAUUUUGGGCAAUGGACGGAAGUCUGAUCGAGCAACGCCGCGUGAGUGAAGAAGGGUUCGGAUCGGAAAGGUCUGUUGGUAGAGGAGCGGUAACUAACCAGAAAGGGACGGCUAACUACGUGCCAGCAGCCGCGGUAAUUC